UGCAGGACUGGCUCCCAGCGAUGGAAGAGCACCUUCGUAGAGCAGUACUGGGCAGGCUUUGGGGAGUUAGAGAGUGAGUCUCUGGCCUGAUACUUCAUAGGCUGUGGCCUUGAUACUGGACCAAGGAGGUGGAAAGGGUUACAGGAAAAGAGGCCCAGGAAAUGAUAGGCAACAGAGGGCAAAGGAGGAGGGCAAGCAGCUGCCAGAGGGGCUGAGGGCCAGGACCCAGAGUAGCGGUUGGGCCUGGGUCUCCCCCUUCUCUCUUGCACUGCACCCAGCCCAUGGAAGAGUGGCCUUUAUAGACUGUGGCUUGUCCCUGAGAUGACAGGCUAGACUGGGGCUGCAGUUGGCCAAAGUGGCAGAGGCCCAGAGCUAGAAGAUGGAGAGAGCACAGAGUGACAACGGGUGAGACACCGGCCAGAAAAAGGCGUCCUGCUGAGAGUCAGAGCUAAUUCUGGAAUGACCAGCAGGAGGUACCACUGUGAUUUGCAAUCUUUCAUUCUGCCCCGGGCUCAGUAUCCACAUAGGAGGCACACAAUAUAAAAUAUACAAAAGCACCUACUGCCUAAAAGGAACAUUGCUGAGAUCAGGCAUACUGCUCCAGUGCCAUGUUUCCCUCCUAGAAGUGAUUGUGUUUCAUUAGGGCAUGGAUUUACCCUUACAUCUGCAGAGUGAAAUUCACCCCCAGAACAACUGACCCACACAUGUAGAGCAAAGUCAUAUCACUAUCAUCAUGACUAUGACAACAGCAUAAGACUUGAACAGAAGAGAAAUGGGACUAUGAAAGACACAGCGUCAAGAUUAUUGCUGCUAGAUGGACCCAGUCACUGUGUACCGAGGCAUCCAAUUAAGGAAGAUCUAGGAAGAACACUGAGGGUUUUUUUUUACUUGGCUUUGUGUUCAGAUUGAAAUGAUAUUCUAUGACACAGUGAUUGUCAUAGAUUUCUGUAAAGGGUUCCAUAUUCUGUUUUUAUCUAACUGGC